rnacentral:rRNA from 1 species
UACGAAGGGUGCAAGCGUUACUCGGAAUUACUGGGCGUAAAGCGUGCGUAGGUGGUUUCUUAAGUCUGCUGUGAAAGCCCCGGGCUCAACCUGGGAAUUGCAGUGGAUACUGGGGAGCUAGAGUGCGGUAGAGGGUAGUGGAAUUCCCGGUGUAGCGGUGAAAUGCGUAGAGAUCGGGAGGAACACCAGUGGCGAAGGCGGCUACCUGGACCAGCACUGACACUGAGGAGCGAAAGCCAGGGGAGCAAACGGG